rnacentral:rRNA from 1 species
AUACGUAGGGGGCAAGCGUUGUCCGGAAUUACUGGGCGUAAAGCGCACGCAGGCUGAAUUAUAAGUCGGUAGUCAAAGGCGGAGGCUCAACUUCCGUUUAUCUAUCGAUACUGUAAGACUAGAGUAUGUGAGAGGGAAGUGGAAUUCCCGGUGUAGCGGUGAAAUGCGUAGAAAUCGGGAGGAACACCAGUGGCGAAGGCGAUUUCCUGCCACAAUACGAGUGCCCAUGUCCUAUAGCAAGCGUAUGGAACGGGAUUAGAUACCCAGUUCCGCGUAGGCGUAAACGAUGGAUACUAGGUGCUGGUGUCUCAGGGCAUCCGUGCCGCAGCUAACGCAUUAAGUAUCCCGGCUGGGGACUACGGUCGCAAGACUGAAACUCGAAGGAAUUGUCGGGG